ACUGAGGCGGCCGACAUCUUCUGUUUUUUUUUUUCAUUUUGUAUUUUACUACAUUUGCUUAUAGUGUUUGUUCUUCUCCCUUCCAUUGUACAAUUUUCUUUGUUUUCUUCUUCGAUAUAAUUUCUUUUUAUGCUUUAUGUAUUGUGAUUUUUCUGUAC
rnacentral:lncRNA from 1 species